AACGCUGGCGGCGUGCCUAAUACAUGCAAGUCGUACGCUUCUUUUUCCACCGGAGCUUGCUCCACCGGAAAAAGAAGAGUGGCGAACGGGUGAGUAACACGUGGGUAACCUGCCCAUCAGAAGGGGAUAACACUUGGAAACAGGUGCUAAUACCGUAUAACAAUCGAAACCGCAUGGUUUUGAUUUGAAAGGCGCUUUCGGGUGUCGCUGAUGGAUGGACCCGCGGUGCAUUAGCUAGUUGGUGAGGUAACGGCUCACCAAGGCUACGAUGCAUAGCCGACCUGAGAGGGUGAUCGGCCACAUUGGGACUGAGACACGGCCCAAACUCCUACGGGAGGCAGCAGUAGGGAAUCUUCGGCAAUGGACGAAAGUCUGACCGAGCAACGCCGCGUGAGUGAAGAAGGUUUUCGGAUCGUAAAACUCUGUUGUUAGAGAAGAACAAGGAUGAGAGUAACUGUUCAUCCCUUGACGGUAUCUAACCAGAAAGCCACGGCUAACUACGUGCCAGCAGCCGCGGUAAUACGUAGGUGGCAAGCGUUGUCCGGAUUUAUUGGGCGUAAAGCGAGCGCAGGCGGUUUCUUAAGUCUGAUGUGAAAGCCCCCGGCUCAACCGGGGAGGGUCAUUGGAAACUGGGAGACUUGAGUGCAGAAGAGGAGAGUGGAAUUCCAUGUGUAGCGGUGAAAUGCGUAGAUAUAUGGAGGAACACCAGUGGCGAAGGCGGCUCUCUGGUCUGUAACUGACGCUGAGGCUCGAAAGCGUGGGGAGCAAACAGGAUUAGAUACCCUGGUAGUCCACGCCGUAAACGAUGAGUGCUAAGUGUUGGAGGGUUUCCGCCCUUCAGUGCUGCAGCUAACGCAUUAAGCACUCCGCCUGGGGAGUACGACCGCAAGGUUGAAACUCAAAGGAAUUGACGGGGGCCCGCACAAGCGGUGGAGCAUGUGGUUUAAUUCGAAGCAACGCGAAGAACCUUACCAGGUCUUGACAUCCUUUGACCACUCUAGAGAUAGAGCUUCCCCUUCGGGGGCAAAGUGACAGGUGGUGCAUGGUUGUCGUCAGCUCGUGUCGUGAGAUGUUGGGUUAAGUCCCGCAACGAGCGCAACCCUUAUUGUUAGUUGCCAUCAUUCAGUUGGGCACUCUAGCAAGACUGCCGGUGACAAACCGGAGGAAGGUGGGGAUGACGUCAAAUCAUCAUGCCCCUUAUGACCUGGGCUACACACGUGCUACAAUGGGAAGUACAACGAGUCGCGAAGUCGCGAGGCUAAGCUAAUCUCUUAAAGCUUCUCUCAGUUCGGAUUGUAGGCUGCAACUCGCCUACAUGAAGCCGGAAUCGCUAGUAAUCGCGGAUCAGCACGCCGCGGUGAAUACGUUCCCGGGCCUUGUACACACCGCCCGUCACACCACGAGAGUUUGUAACACCCGAAGUCGGUGAGGUAACCUUUUGGAGCCAGCCGCCUAAGGUGGGAUAGAUGAUUGG
rnacentral:rRNA from 1 species